CCUGCCUCAGCCUCCCAAAGUGUUGGGAUUAUACUUUGUAAACCCAAAGUGUGAGCCAUCACGUCCAGCCAAAAAGUAUUCAGUAUUUUGAGAGUAUAAGUUGGAUAUGUGAUGUGAGAGAAAGAGAGGAAUCAGGGAUGACUUUGAGAUUUCUGGCUUAAGCAACUGGCAAGUAGGAGUUUUUAAUCAACUGAGGUGGGGAAGACUGUGGGUAGACUACGUUUUGGGUGAGAAGAGCAGGAUUCAGUCAGGGGAACCGAAGGGCAGGCUCUCUGUACCAGCACUCAGUAUGCAGUUUCAUAUCAAGUCAAAGGCUGUCUGAGGCCAACACUGGUCUUUGAGAGUGGGAAGUCCAAGCAAGCAGAAGAUGACAAGUAGGUGUCACUGGCUCUAAUGGAAGAUGGGCAAGAGAAGACCUCUACAUUCUAGAAAGUGAACUUGCUAUGUGGUUUGCCUGGCAACGGACAAGGUGAGGUAAAUAAUGCCACAGAAGCUCCAGGAUGAAGGAUUACAAGAGGUUUGUAAGAAAACUCAAGGGGUACGGUGGUUCAGAAAUGGACAUAACAGCCUAGAGGAAGACCUGGGAGAAGCCCUUGAAUAACCAUUGGUCCAUUGUGCAUCUAGGGUCCUUAACAAAAAGAUAAAAGACAAGUGUAUAAUAUGUUGGAAAAAAAUUUCCCAUUCCCACACAGGCUUGUCAUAUACCAGGAGGUAUCAACAAUCACCAAGCUCUCGUGCAUUAACUACCUGUUUCACCUCCAUUGAGGGAUAUGUCUCAUGUCAAUAAUUGGAUCUAUGAAACCUGGCUGUGAUAAAUACCAAGGAAUUCUAUGCCAGUUCACAGCAGUAAGAGUGCAGAAGUGCCAGAAGCUGACGUGCCCAAGAACUGAGCCCAAGUCUUAGCACAGAUCUUCAUCCAUCACAUAACUGUAAUUUAUCACCCAGACUGAGACAUUUCUGAGAGUGAAAGGGAGCUUCAUGAGUAAUUAUUCCAGAACAACUGGAGUAUAUUGGGACUGUCUUAGAUAAACUAAAAGGCAAAGUCAUUCUACUCCCAUUCUACUCCCAAACUUCUAGACUCUGGCUGAUUCUCUCCACAGACCUCUUCCCAAUGAAAAUAUCCUCCUCUUUGUAGCAUAUUUGUACUUCUACUGAAUGAUAAAUGAUUAUAUGCAUUCCUUGUUUUUAUGUAAGAAAAUACAGUUUCCUGAUAUUGUUUGAGAAUUUUAGAAAUUAUGUCCUCAUUUUGGUAUUUUAAUCCAUUAAUGGGAAAUUUCAGACUGGAAGAGAGAAAACCAGUAACCCUAGGGAGAUAUUUUUAUCCAGACCAG
rnacentral:lncRNA from 1 species